UUUUGACUAAUUGAGUUUAAAGUAAUUUAAGAUUUUAUCUGAUUUUAUAAUUAUCGAAUUAUUUUCUAUAUUUCAAAUUAUAAACCUUAGCAAAUGUAAAAUAAUAAAAAUUUUAUAUAAUAUACUCUAAUUUUAUUAAAAUUUAUUAAAUUCUAAUUUACCCAAAAUUCCUAAUUUUAUUUUUAUCCCAAAUUAAACCCUAAUUCCUAAGUUAAACCCCACAAACCCUAAUUUCCACCACCUCACCGUCACUCACCCUUUUUUCCACCGCCAUUCCCUUCCUAACAGCACUAACACCUAUCAGCUUUGGCAAAAACUAAAGAAAGAAGGAAAGAAAAGAAAAGAGAGGGGGAACGAAGGAACAGAAGGGAGAAAGGAGGGGGAGAGAGGGCCGCGACGGGGGAGAAGAGAAGAGGGGAAGGAGACGCGCCGGUGUUGCUGGGUAUUGCCGCCGCCGUCGCAACCUUGCCGAGCCUUGGAGGGAGACCCCGCCGUUAAGCCGCGUCACCGUCGAACUCGUCCAACCGCGCCACCGCGCUCAGCCCUGUCUCGCGUCGCCACUGUGCCAUGCGUCACCGCCGUUCGCACUGUCAGUUUCGCGCAGGGGAAACCAUGGCCGUUGAGGGUCCAUCCACGCCGUAGCUGAAGCUUGAACGCCGCUGCAACCACCGCGUGUUAUCGUCUUCAAAUCGCCGCCGUUGGAGUCGCGAACAGAGAUCGCGCGCAAGGGAAAUCGUCGAGGAGCUUCCGUCGUCGCCGCGUGCUGGGCUCGCCAUCGUUCUGCCCGCGCAGUUGCUGCGUUGCCGGAGCUCCUCGCCGCCGCUGCUGGCCCCGGAAACCGCCUUUCAAGCCUGUGUCUGUUGGUUAUACGGUCACCGUGAGUCUCUUUGCCGCCGUCCAAGCUGCCAUCAGAAGGAUCCACCACAGCCUCCUCUGUUCUUGUCUUCGAAUCAGUACUGCCCUUUUUCCAGUUUCAAUCCCAAUUCUGCUAUUUCUGAAUAUGUUCCAUUGUAGGUCUAAACUUUGCUGUUUAUGAGUCUUUGAAAGAUUGGUUAGUUAAAUCCAAUCCAUUUGGUCUAGUGCAAGAUUCUGAGUUGAGUGUGACAACUCGCCUGAGUCAAUGGAUUACUAUAAUCAGAAAUGAUGUGUUGAUGGAAAAGGACUUGUUCUGCCCAGUCAGAUUGGAAGCUGUGAAACAUUUUGGUCCUGGUCCUAGUGUUCCUCACAGCCAUACCAAGCCUUAUGUACGAUCUAAGGGAAGGAAGUUUGAGAGGGCUAGAGGAAGAAAGAACAACAAAGGACUUAGUGUUUAAGUUGUAUUGUUUCUGUA